AGGCGAGAACAGCUUGAGUCGUCCCAGGCUGCCAUGCAUGACCAGGAACUUUAUGAAGAUUCCCACCUAGGGGGAUACCGGCGAAUCUACCCAGGGCCUGACUCAGAGAAAUAUGCACCUUUCUUCAAGCACAAUGGCUCCCUCUUCCAGGAGACUGCUGCCUCCAAGGCCAGGGAGGACUGGCUUACAGGAACCGGAACCAGGAGAAAGAGCUGCUACCAGUACAACUGGACACUAUGCAGCCUCAGGACAUUGUGGAAGAGGAAGAGCUUGAGCGAAUGAAGCUCCUGCUACAAAGAGAGAAUCUCAUCCGAAGCCUGGGCAUUGUAGAGCAGCUCACUCGCAUGCUGUACCCUAGCCACCGGAGCCACAGAAAGCUUCAUGAGUAUCGGGUAUUUACAUAAGGAAUUUGCAGAGUCCUGGUCAGUUCCCAGGUUGGCAGAAGGCUUUGAUGUCAGCACUGAUGUUAUCCGAAGGGUUUUAAAAAGUAAGUUUAUACCCACUUUAGAGCAGAAACUGAAGCAGGACCAAAAGGUCUUGAAAAAAGCGGG
rnacentral:lncRNA from 1 species